AUAUCAAGAUGAAUUUUAAUGUUUAUUUACAAGAAUGUAGAUGAUCAUUUCUUGUAGACGCUCGCAUAAAAAAGAAGGAUGUCUACUCUGUUACUCUGCACCCUCAUCCCACACUGUUCAAAUCUUCACAAAAUAUUUUACUUUUUUAAAACUUAAUUUAUGAUCAGGUAGAAACAAAAAUGUAUUAUAAAUUUUAAAACCGUUUUCAUUUGGUUUAUUCCGGACCGGUUUUGGUUUAUAUCGGAUGAAAGUGUACGUCACAUUUGACGUCACUGCUGCAGCAGAAGUCUUGGGUGUUGGAAAAAGGCAUAUGUACUAAGCAACUUAAGUUCAGCGUCCCAGAGUCGUUUUUAUUCAAAGAACCCAUUGCCGAUUUUAUUGAGUGACGAUGGAAGUUAUUGACCCAAUGCCGAUUUUAUUGGCGAUUGCGUGAUGACAAAUCAGAACAAUGUUCCAGCACAUUUUUAAAAACCUGUAAGAUAUGAAGAGAAUUUUCUGGCCCUAAAACAACGCAAUAUCUACAUGUAAAUGGGGAUAAAUUUUCAUCUAAAGCAGACAUACAAGGUGUAAUAUACAGCCUGCCUUUUUCAUAGUGAAUACAUUGAAGAACAGACACCAUGACCCCAAGCUUGCUUCAAAAUAGGCUCCACCCCUGCCUUAACAUGAGAAGUUUUCAAAUCGUUUGACCAUUAUCGAAGGGGCUGAUGAAAUUUCUUAAGUGCUCAAGAAGCAAUGCAGUCACUGUCGGGGAAACGAAGCCAGAAUUGUGUAAAAAUUUGAAAAAUAAAUGCAGGAUUAAUGCUUACAA